AUUAGUAAAAACAAUACAUAACUUUGUCAAAGUUAAAUUAUAGGUUAAACCCCUAUAUAUCUUUAUGGCUCAUCCAAUACAGAUUGGGUUUCAAGACGCUGCCUCCCCUAUUAUAGAAGAACUUUUAUAUUUCCAUGACCACACUCUUAUAAUCGUAUUCAUAAUUAGCUCACUAGUCUUAUAUAUUAUUUCCCUUAUACUAUCAACUGAACUCACGCAUACAAGCACCAGGGACGCACAAGAAGUGGAGACAGUAUGAACUAUCCUUCCCGCUAUAAUUUUAAUCCUAAUUGCCCUCCUAUCCCUCCAAAUCCUCUAUAUAAUAGACGAAAUCAACACUCCUUCUAUAACUCUAAAAACAAUAGGACAUCAAUGGUACUGAAGCUACGAGUACACAGACUACGACAACCUAUGCUUUGACUCAUACAUAGUGACCACUCCUGAUUUAGAGCCCGGGGAUCUCCGCCUGCUAGAAGUUGACAACCGGGUAAUCCUUCCCACAGAGAUAUCUAUCCGAAUACUCAUCUCUUCUGAAGACGUCCUUCACUCAUGAACAGUUCCAGCCCUAGGAAUCAAAACUGACGCAAUCCCUGGGCGCCUAAACCAAGACACCGUUAUGACUUCCCGACCAGGAAUUUAUUACGGGCAGUGCUCCGAAAUCUGCGGGUCCAAUCACAGCUUCAUGCCAAUCGUAUUAGAAUUAGUACCACUAAAGUACUUUGAAGAAUGACUACUUAAAUCUCUCUAGAU